rnacentral:lncRNA from 1 species
UCCCACUCUUCUACCUCCCCUCACACAAGAACCAACUGCACUAACUGUCUCUCUAUUUCCAUCUGUCUUCCAACUGCUUUUUCCCAACUGUCUAAACCUCUGGCUAAGCCUUUGAAAAACAGGUAGGCUCCACCUCUGGGCUUUUCUAUUGGUCUACUUAUUAACCCUUUCUCUCUCCCUGUACAGACAUUUCCAAAAGAAUGGGCAAACGCCACAUCAUGGAAAUGCCAUUUACCUUCCCAUUGCAGCAGUAUCAAUUUAUCUACUUACACUGGCAUGCUUUCAAACUGCUAGGUUGGCAGAAGCUUACCCCAUUGCUCAGAUUCAAACUGCCGAUCUUCUAAUUGGCAAGCCUAAGACGCUUAGUGGUUUAGACCACAGUGCCAUCCUGUCCCAUCUAUACCAUAUGUUUACAGUGGCAUGUGAUACUGGAGUCUGGUGAUGCAGUGCCUCAGAAUUCCACCAGUGGGCUGGAGCCUCUCUCUGAUUGGCUAAAAUGACAGCAAGUCAGAGAGGGGUGGAGUCAGCACUUUGGGAGGGAGAAUAAAAGGAUCAGGCCAGGACAGUGGUGGCGAACCUAUGGCACACUUACCAGAGGGGGCACUCAGAGCCCUCUCUGUGGGCACGCGCACCGUUGCCCCAGCAGGGCCAUAGCUAGGUGGUGAAACUGGUACUCCAGCACUGCAGGAGGCUCCUGGCAGCUUCCAGCAUGGUCCCAGCACUGCUAGGGCACCAUUUUUACCCUCGAGGCCGCACUGGGGGGAGAAGGAGAAGAGGGCUUGUGCUGGGAAACUGCCGCUCUGUCCAGGCCUCAACUUUUGAUGCGCCAGGGCCUCCCGCUAGUUUGUUGUUCCUACUCGGGAGUAAGCCGCCUUGAGUUCAGCAAGGUUAGACAAAUUAUCAGCAUGCGUACAACAGCAAAAAUCACACUAAUUGUUCAAAAGCAUGCCAAAUGCAAACUUUUACCCUUCAAAAAAAAAAUUGUUUGUAUCAUUGAAAGCUCUGUUAUUGUGUUUUUCUUUUAAGACAAAAGAUGUUAAUGUACGGGUUGUUUUUUCUAAACUGAAACCUCAGUAUUCAGGUUAAAUUGCCGUGUUGGCACUUUGCGAUAAAUAAGUGGGUUUUGGGUUGCAGUUUGGGCACUCGGUCUCAAGCCCUAGUGUCUCUAGCCCUAGUGUGUCCCAGUCCUGGCUAUACCCCUCAUCCUGCCAGUUCAUGGUGCCCUAGUCCCUUGGUGGUGGUUAAAAAUACAUUUAUAGGGGUCAUAGGUGGGCAGGGGGUUGCUGCACAGCACCAUACCACUUUAAACAGUCAUGGUUUCUCCCAAGGGAUCUUGGGAAUUCUAAUCUGUUAAGAGCCAGUGUGGCAUAACAUACACAUACUUGGAAGUAAGGGUGAUAUAUAAAUGUAACAAAAAAAUAAUAAAGAAAGAAAAGUAUGGAGUUUUUCAGACACCCCAUUCCCCUCUAAAUGCUAAAAUUUCCAAGGUCCCCCUGGAAGUUAGAUUGAUGGUUAAACCACUCUAGGGGCCUGGGGGAGGGAUCAUUUUUUUACAAUAAAUUCAAAAACCAUGGUUUUAAGCAAAGCAACCUGAUUCGCCACCUCCUGGACGAAUACACAGAUCCAAACAUAACUAUCCUUCAGAUUUCACACUUUCCCUGAAUUUUGCAAUAUAGUUCUUGGCUGGGGGGAAAAACCCCACCCAAAAGCACUUUAAAGUGAGAAUGGGAUGGAACUGAUUUAUGUAUAAAUAAAUGUGGAUUUUACCAGGCCCAGAAAGUGACUGAUCCACUCAUCCCUAUUUUCAAGUGGUGUCUGGAAGCCAUCAAAAAGUGAACAAGAGGGACAUUAGAAGUAUCACAAACAAUGAAUCACGACUGAGAAUGUAGCCUUAUUGGAGUUCACCGAUUGGGUCUGCAUUGCUUCGGGACAGGAGGAAGGAAGUCAAAAUGACACCGAGGUUGGUUCAAAGAAAGAGUUUAUUCUGCUCUCCGGAUAGCAGAAGGCACCUGCGUGGUGAGUCCACAGCAAGUACAAAGAAAUGACAGGUUUCAUGCAGUUUAUAUAUCCUUCAGGCACCCUCUCACUCCUCCCCUAGGAGCUCAACCACGUCGGCCUACGUACGCAGGUUGACAUCACAUAUGUACUCUCUGGUACUCUCAACCAUAAAAGGAUCUUCCUUCCUGUACUUCUGACCAUAAAAGGAUCUUCCUCUUCCUACUCUUAUCUGGGAAGACGUCACAAUCUCCGGGAACACGCUUUUGGCGUUUUCCCCGGACAUUGGUAUUGCGCGUAUUUUGUGGUCAGCACAUAAGAUAAAGUUCUGACGUGUUUUCUUUGUUCCCCUGGAGAGCCAAGGCCAUCCCUUGCCUGUCCUGAUAAAGGACAGAACUGUUUAUGCAGUUGUGUCCUUAUUAUGGUUUUGCUCAACAGUUCAAGUUUUACGCAUUUAAAAGUGCUCUCUUUUGAAAGAACAAAAAAGGGGGGGGGUUGAGUCCGUUUUUAAACUUACUACACAGAAACCCAUUCCUUCAAGAAGAUGCUUGUCUCUCAUUGCCACCCACCUUAGUUCAUAAGGUGGUAGUUCAUAAGCUCUGAGCAGAUCUUCUUAAUGAAGAUUUCAAUAGCAGGUCUGGUUAAUAUGAGAAUAACCAACCUUAGAUAAGCAAUGCAUUGCAGUGUGCAAUGUUGUAACAUAUCUAUAAUGCUGCGUGAGAGUAGCAAAGAGCAAUAGCGAAGGAACCUCAAAGCACAUCAACUUACAACAUAAAUAACUAAAUUAUGCCUCAGAGAAUUACAGCUAAUAUACUGCAAGACUACCCUUGACCUUUGCAAUGAAUAGCUCUUGUUCAUAACAGAAGCUAUGAGACCAGCCAUAACCAAUUAAAUUAAUUGCCUGUAAAACUUCAAGGAGAGGGAGGUAGAUGUUUACAUUGUCUCAACAGUUUGCAUGGAGAGAUUUGUAGAGCACUUAAACAAUUAAUUUGUUUGCUUGCUUGCUUCAGUUGUCCUGGGAGAACCAUGUUCGUGUUCUUCGGGUUUCUAACACCAAUUCAGUCAUCGCACCAUUUAGAGGCAGGUUCUGCAUUUAAAAAAUAUCACCUGGAGGAAUUUCCUGGCAAAGCAGGUUCCCACUUUCAGAUUUUCAACAAAUAAAUUAGGUCUGUCAAAGCAAAGCACUCUUUCCUGCAGCUGCUUCCAGAUUCUCACUAAUCUGCCUCACAGGCUCGGGGCUAAGACUGAAGUUGCUGGCAGGUGAUGAAAAGGAGGAGGAUGCAGAGAAUGCAGUUGGUGGGGUGACCUGAGAGGCAGGAUGGGGACCCUGCCCCAUAGCGCAAAGGGGCCAGGAAGUGCGAGAUGGUCCUCCCAGGUCUUUGUCAUUCCCCAUCCACACAGAGAACAGAUUCCUUAGCGAUGGGAGUCAGCGCCACACCAGGAAGGGAGGCUGGAAUGCAGAAGGAGGGGUCCUCUGUCUUAUCCCUGAAAACUAGGUGUUGUCCAGAGGAGGAAAAAAACUUAAAUAUGUUGCAGAGUUCCCAAAAAUAGACCAGAGGCAAUUGUACUUCAUCCAGCAGAGCUUUACUGCUACUGGAGGCAAAUAAGCAUAAUGGCCACAAAUCGAACACAUUCAGGAUUGGCACAGUCCAUAAAAGAUCCAGUUGCAGCAGACUUAGCUUAACUUAUAAUAUUUAUAAUAGGACUAAACCUUAACAUUAAGCAUACAGAACAGACCACACCAGAAGAAAGAGAUAAAAAGAGAAAGUAAGUGAAACCCAGCCUCCUCCUGGCCUGACUAUUACAGUCAGCAUGACCUUGACAGAAAGAUAACAGAACCAGUUUAAACCAGCUUCCCAGAAGGAAUAACCCAAGCAUCAGAAACCUUCUGCCUGUUUCUUUCACAUAGAAAGAAACCUUCCAGAACCCUCUUGAACUAAGCAGAACAGGAAAGAUCUCUACACAUCAGGUCAAUAUUUUCUGUACUAAGAAAUGCAAACUGACACUGGGUGCCACCUCCAUCUUUGGGAGAAGUCCCACACCCCAAUUUGGAGAAGAAUGCACCUCCAAGAACACCAGUCUCACAGGAAGAGAGAGAGCCUUGCAAGUGAUGAUGCCAUGGGUAGCUGAUGAUGUUCACGGUAUUCCCAUCUGGCAGCAAGUGCCUCCCAAGCCAGUUGGGCCUGUGAGGCUGAUGGCAAGUUGUAAUUAUCUAUUGGAAUUAGCACCUUUGAUGCAGCUGAAGUCAAUUUGCAUUGAGACAUAAAUGAGCAUAUUCAAAUUUUGUGCUUUGCAGGUGCUACCGCACAACCCAGGUAAGGGUGGUAGUGGCAGUGUUGGACAGCAUCCCAGUGUUAGGAUUCCUGCUCUGUGUUUGCAGUCAUGGGAUUGUUGUCUAUCACAUGAUGGUGUAUGCUUUCAUUCCACAUAGUGGGAAGUGACGGAAACAGGAUGUUUAUGUUACUGUGUUCUGGAAUGUAGAACUUUUGUCAUUUAUUUAUUUCUCUUUGCUGUCUGGUGAGAAAGAGGAAAGAGCUAAGUCAGAAUGCUCUGAGUGUAUUAUAUGUAAAUAAAGUAGAUUAGCCAAAAUGCUGUGCUACUGAGUUCUGUUACGCAAACUGCAAAUACUCUGCAGGAUCCUAAGUGUGCUAAUGCCUCUUGGUAUCAGUCGCUGAGAUGUUUGGGCUGGAGAAAGCUUUUGAAGCUCCCGGAUGAUCGAGCAGGAGGGAGAGAACAUGCCAGCCGGGCAUGUGUCUCUGCCAGGGGCCUACACGUGAGUAGGGCGAUCCUAACACUCAGGCCUCAAACCAGAAUGCACUACCCCUAGUACCAAGAGUUCUUAGGAGACCCCUGUUCCCCUCACAGAACUACAUUUUCCAGAGUGCUUCAGCAACAAAUCCCUCUUCUCAGGGAACUCUGGGAAUUGUAACUCUGUGAAGGGAACACAGCCAGCUCCUCGGGGAGAUGGGCAUAUUGCAGAAGGGAAUCGCCUGCCUACAUAAGACCUCAGACAUGCCUAGCCCCGACUGAGACUACAUCUUCCAACCCCUAGCCAGUAGUGCCCACACCUGAUCUGCCUGGAUUAUCGAUGGGAAAUCUCAGGCCCAGCACCUAAAUGUGGCCCUCCAGGCUUCCUUAUCCUCCCCUCACCAGCCUUGCUUCAUAAUCCAAGUGCUUUUGUCUGGAUGGAAUGUGUCCUUGAACUCUUGCUUGUCUGGGUGAGGGUUAUAUGUAGAGACAAAGGUAAGAUUUGCAUUCGUUGCUCUGUCCACUUUUCCCUCUGCCCCCCUCCCUCCUCACCACUGGCAUGUGGUCCCUGGAAGAUUGCUUAAAAAUGAAUGAAUGCAGCCGUUGGGGUGGAAAAGAUUCCACCCUCCUUGGCUUAAAUAGGCCUGCAUUGACUUCGCCUGGAUUUGACCUGCUUGCCUCACCUGGUGUGGCCUAUUUGCUUUCUCCACUUCCCUUGCAACCCUUAGCAGAGCACCUCAAAAUGCUUGAGGUGGAGAGGGCAGGUUAGACCUAGCCAUCUGUUCACAACUCCUGAUGGAAGGCAUACUCUUGUUCUUCCUCCUGUUCUUUGUUCCACACCCCUUAUCUUCCACAGCUUCCAUAGUUUUCAUCCUGCGCACCUUUUCCUGUGCCAUGUCCCUCUGCCACUGCUUAUCAUUCUCCUCGAGCCUCGUUCCUUCUGUGCACUAAGCACGCCUAUCAAUAACUGAAUGUGAAUAAUCACAUCAUUAGUCAGUCGCCGCUGAUUGAUGCUCUGCUGUCACAAUGUGGUAACUUUUACUGCCAAAUAGAAAUUGCCAGAUGUCCCUUAUUUUUUUAAGGGAAUGUUCUUUGUUUCAGAAGAGACACAUGGCUCGUUUGCUGGGGUUCCUUGGUGUGUGAAAUGCUUACAAGGCGGCGCGUCUUCCUCUCGGGAUCAUCUUCAAGAGUCCUGCUUCUUACUGUUUCAGUGAAGGUAGUGAAGUCACAGGAAGAGCUGCUUUUUUUAUAUAGGUCUCUGGAAUGACCUCCUGUAAGAGGUGCAGCUGUUUGAGCAACUGUGCAUCUCAUCUGCAACUAUGCAAGAUGUAUUGUUUUCAGACAAGUAUCCAUACCGCAAGUGUGCAGAAGGUCCCAGGUCCAAUCCCUGGCAUCUCCAGGUUGGACAGAGACGAUCUUCCACCUGAAACCCGGGAGUACCACUGCCAAAUGUUGGAAACUGAUCUAGGUGGGCCUUUGGGCCUGACUUAGUAUAAGCCAGCUUCCAAUGUUCUACUGUAUGGACUGCUUACUGUUGUUAUGUAAUAAUGGAGUAGUUAUUGUGGGAUAACCAGCCACAUACAAGUAACAUACUUAAGUCUAAAGGGGUUAACACCAUAGAGUCCUGCCAGGCUUAGCUCACUUUGGGAAGGACCACAUGGCUCUUACAAGCCCUCUAGGGCUCCUAUACCAAUAAUUCAGUAACUUUCACCACUGUAAAGUUUUACUGCUUGUGCACUUCUUCUGAAUGCUGUAUGGAAAAGCACAUCAAUCUGACCUUUGGAGAGUUUGUGAGUAAACCCAUUUUAAACUUACCAAACCUGUCGGUUACCCUCACCUGGUUUAGCCAAUUCUUGUGGGGGCGGGGGGUGGCCGUUGUUACACGCUGACAGCUUCUAGGAGCCACAGGUAGGAGAUGAGGGCAGGGUGGACAAACAAUCCCAGAAAGAGAAUGACAUGUACCUCACCAGGGGUACUACCCCUCCCCUAACAUCCCACACACCCCCUAUAAGGUUGCAGCCUUAAUUAACUGAAGCAUCCCUCUAGGAGUAAGUCCAAUGGUAUAUCAGAUUAGGUAGGAAUGGAGGUGGAUGCCGAAGGUCUCAGGUUCAAUCUCUAGGUAGGGCUGGGAGAGACUUCAGUCUUAAACCCUGGAAAGCCACUGCCAGUCUUGUGUAGACAGUACUGAGUUAGAUGGGUCAGUGGUUUGACUCUCAGUAUAAGGCAGCUUCCUAUUCUUCUUCUUUGGCAAUCACUACUAGCGAAGUAAGAUUGUCUUCCAUAAACAUGGUUUUUACAGUGAGUCUGUAAGUGACUCUGGAGGCCAGUUCUGGAGCCACACGUCCUUCCACAGUGGGGACAUAGGUUUCCAGACGGGAGUUGAUCAUGGUGAGGGUUUGCCAAGAAUACCUUCCUCUUAGCUCAUUUCUCCCUUUCGUCCUGAGUUUGAGUGUCUUCAAAGCCAAUGGCACCUUCAGCUUAGUUGGACUGGUCAUGUUGUGCGGAUGCCUGAUUAUCAUCUUCCAAAGCAACUACUCUAAUCCGAACUUAAAAAUGGAAAGCAUAUAAAGACUCUCUCAAGGCAAAUCUAAAAAUAUGUGGUAUAAACACCGACAACUGGGAAACACUGGCCUGAGAGCGCUCCAGUUGGAGCUUCCUAUACUCCUAAAUAGAACCUCUCAAACUUCAGGGGAAAUAUAUAUAUACAGCCUCCAUGAAAGCCUGCGCCACCAGCCAAUGAACAAACCAAGAACAAUAUCCUGGAAAAGAAUUAUUGCUGACUAUUGUAUUUAACUGGAUUAAGAUGCUAAAGGAAGCUAUGCAUCUUUAAUCCUUGGAAAGGACAUUCAAAUGCAAAAUGUAGAGGGGAGGGAGGCAGGUGGCCCUAUGAAUAAUUAACUGAGCAUUUGCUUCUGUAAUGAGAAAUUAAAUUCUAAAUACAUACAAGCCCACAGUGACGGGAGCCCAAGAAGUCAAGUUCAUCUUCUUUGUGUCCUCUUCUGGAUGGGAAAACCGCACGCCAAUGUUUGACGCCUGCCUUGCUGGUGUCUCGUUCGUUCUUUCAUCGUUUUCUUUGGAGCUGAAGGCCUAGAGGAAGGGAACAGGAACAGUGAUAAAGGAAGCGAGGAAUUGGGAAGAGGGAGAAAGAGAAUUAAAUAAAGCUACAGGAGACAAAAGAGAGCUGAGGAUUAGAGGGAAGGUUAAACCAAAGAGACUGAAGCACACUUGAGUCCUCUACAAAGAUUUCCUCUCUCUGUAUUCAGAUACUGAGAAGAGUUGUGAUCUUCUGCACUAUACUUUUCAAGCAGUAUCCUGUCACUAUAAUCAGCAGUGGCUUCCCCCCCAAAUACUGGGGAUUUUAGUUCAUUAAGGGUGCUGACAGUUAGGAGACACCCUAUUCCCCUGAUAGGACUACAAUUCCCAGAGUUCCCUGGGAAAGAGGGAUUGAAUGUUAAACCCUGGAGAUUAUAGCUCUGUCCCCAGGGAUUGCAUAGUGGAGGAUUCUCUUGGGGGAGGGCUGUGUUAGCAGAAUGCAACAGUCUGAAAUCCCCUGAAGGCUGAAUAAAAAAAUCUUUAUUGCUUACCCAAUGGCCCUUGCCAGCCAAAGAGUUGUAUAAUUAAAAAAAGUGGGACCCUACACAAACUAAUUGCAUAAGGUAAAGGUAAAGGGACCCCUGACCAUUAGGUCCAGGCGUGGCCGACUCUGGGGUUGCGGCGCUCAUCUCGCUUUAUUGGCCGAGGGAGCCGGCGUACAGCUUCCAGGUCAUGUGGCCAGCAUGACUAAGCCGCUUCUGGCGAACCAGAGCAGUGCACAGAAACGCCGUUUACCUCCCCACUGGAGUGGUACCUAUUUAUCUACUUGCACUUUGACGUGCUUUUGAACUGCUAGGUUAGCAGGAGCAGGGACCAAGCAAUGGGAGCUCACCUCCGUCAAGGGGAUUCGAACCGCCAACCUUCUGAUUGGCAAAUCCUAGGCUCUGUGGUUUAACCCACAGCGCCACCCACAUUCCUACAUUGCAAAAUUCAAUAUAUAUGUGCAGCUCACCAGCUGCACCCGGCACAACAGGUUCCCAUUCCUACCAUGCACCAAUACAACAGCACUAGUGGAUUUCUGCCCCUGGGGUGCUUUUGUCUGGGAUACCAAGGGGCAGGGGGGCAGCUGCAGUGGUGCUGAGUACUUUCCUUGCCAGCUGGCCUCCUCUGCAAAUUUAUUGCUAUUUAUUUUCUUUAUUUCAGGCAUUUAUAUACUGCUUAAUCGUUAGCAUGAAUGAUGAACGGCCAACGCAUGAUGAUACACAAGGAGGAAACAGCAGUGCCAGGUUGCCAAUGUGUUUCUUUCACUGAAAUUGUGUACAUGCCCACAACUCACUGGUUUCAUGCGAUGUGGAGCCCUGGACUGGACCAUGCAGCUGAACCUCUCACGCUCUCUGGGUCUCACAGUGAGUGCUGCCUGGGGCGGGUGUAGGCUGGUGCCAUUUCACUCUGUGCUUGCGGGAAAAGAGAACAACAGCAAACCAACCUAUGGUCACAUAAAGCAUCAUCAAUAAACACACAAGAUGUAACUGGCUGUGUUCUUAAAUAAAUAAGGUAUACUAUUCA